rnacentral:rRNA from 1 species
UACAGAGGGUGCGAACGUUGCUCGGAAUUACUGGGCGUAAAGCGCGUGUAGGCGGUGUCGCAAGUCAGAUGUGAAAUCCCUGGGCUCAACCCAGGAACUGCAUCUGAAACUGCGAUCCUUGAGUACUGGAGAGGGUGGCGGAAUUCCUGGUGUAGAGGUGAAAUUCGUAGAUAUCAGGAGGAACACCGGUGGCGAAGGCGGCCACCUGGACAGUAACUGACGCUGAGACGCGAAAGCGUGGGGAGCAAACAGG